GGGCGAGUGGCGGAAUUGGUAGACGCGUACGACUCAAAAUCGUAUGAGCGUAAGCUCAUGAGAGUUCGAUUCUCUCCUUGCCCACCA
rnacentral:tRNA from 1 species